rnacentral:pre_miRNA from 7 species
GUCUCGGUCUCUUGGGUGGUGGCGUCAAUCCCGGGACGAGCCCCCAAAUGUAAGACCUCCGAAGGGAGACCCUCACUCAAGCCUCGGGAUGUGGUGCGGACCCAAGAGAGAUGCGGAGACCA